AGCACGCCAGAGGCCACAAGGGGACACCCUUGCAUGUUGUAAAGAGAAUUGCAGUAAAUUAUGGAUAGAUAAAACCACAAAUAUUGAUCUCAAGAGUAAGGUAACCAGUUCCAAUUCCUGUUCUGGACACACCUCUUUUUGGUUAGAGGGGGUGAAGUUACAACACAAAGGAUAAGAAGAAAGCAGUCGGAGGGGAAGAGCCUAUCUUGUUAACCAAAAUGCCCCUAUCUUGUUUUUCCAAACUGAUAAAAUUAAAAUGACUGUGGAGGAGAUGAUCGCUUUGAAAAAGGAAGAGUCUGCAAUCAAAAGACACGCAGAAGGGACAUGGGUUGAGCACAUCUGGUCUAAGGUUAUUUCUCAGCUGAAGAUAGAAGGAAGAGAUGUUCUUCUCCAACCACAAUUAAAAUGGGGUCAUGAUGAUUUAAAAUAACACUAGAUGAGUCUCAAUGAACUCUAGAUUCUUCUCCAGCCUCUGGCUCAUCUAGUUCUUCUAUGUCAAGAAUUGCAAGUCACCGUUGUUCAUAUUUUCCAAUAAAGAAGUUGAGCAAU